ACGGCAACUGUGCAGAGAGGCUUGCAGGUCCAAACCACUGGUAGCAGCCCCUGGUAUAUCCAGGACAUCAGCACAUAGAACCAGUGAAAGGGUCCUCCCUCAUAGUGACGCAUGUCAUAGACUCAGAUUUAUACAAACAAAUGCUGAGCAAACCAUGAAGAGUCUCUGGUAUUUUCAACAAUAUCAUCACAGAGGAACUGUAUUGAUUUCCUUCUCCAGCCUGGAUCUCCAGAUCUCCAAGGCUCCCCAUCUCGACUAUCAGACUGUGGGACACUUUCAUUGGAAAUUCUGAGAAGCACAGCCUUAGGUGUUGGAGGUUUAUGAUAAUGAAGAAAGAAAACUCAGAGGACAUCUCUGAAACUACACAGCCAGGCCUAGUGGAGAAAUGAAGUAGGCUCCGUACUGUCUGAGCCCCACACAGCUCAUGGUCUCUCCCCAUCUUACUGGACCAUGAGGACCCUUCAUCAGCAGAUGCCCACGACUGCCCCUCCACUGAUGCCAUUAUUGCCAUGAUGCAGCUUCUCUGUCUCUGCCCCCUCCUCCAUCCAAGUCUUUCCCUUCUCCCUCUUAUGAUACAACCCCUUUGUUUUUACUGAUUGAUCUUAUGACACAUCCCUUUUAUUUUUACCAGUUGACUCAUCUGACAUUUUUUCAAUGUAAAACAUUGAAAAAAAUUGGAUAAAAUAUGUCCCUGCCAUUGGAUUACACAUUAAUUUCUGAAGUCAAUCUUCCUGAGGUUACCGAGAAUCUUUUAUGACAUUGAAAAAAUGUCAGAUGUGUCAACUGAUAACUACUCAAUAUGCAACCUCACCACAGAACGGCUGAAGCACCUUGUAAACAAAUUACAUCUCAUAUUCGGCCACUGUUGGUUAAUGCCCCAAGCUGGGCCAGUCAGUUUGAGGCAAUGCACCUGGCCUUUGUGAGUGUGCAGCUUGUCUUGAGAAAAGACAUUGGGCGUACAUAAGAUUCCCAAAAGUUCUCAUGACUUGCAGACAUGUCAACAGCAUUGCUCUAGUGAAGAGUGCUUUAGAGAAGAGAGAGGCUUGUAACACCAGCUGCCAUCUGCACUGGUGCCGCGCCAGGCACUGUGCUGAGAACUUUACAGCCAUGAUCUCAUUUAAUUCCUCUUAAACAUCCAAGUUGAAGUUGUGUCCUAUUUUAUAUCAUAAAUGUCAUUAUAUCAAAAAAUAUAUUUUUCCUGUGCAACAUAUAUGUUGUGCAUAUUCCAGUACAUAAACUUUUAACAGCUUGCAUAGCAUCCUCAGAUUUCAAUAUGAUUUUUAAAUACCCCACUCAGAAGAAAUUUAAUGUUUCUUUCAUCAUACUCUGAGUCAGCUUAAAUCACUAUGUUUUUAAUUAUUCCACUUUCACGGAAAAAUACAAAGUGAUGAAAA
ensembl:lncRNA LINC01255 long intergenic non-protein coding RNA 1255